GGGCCCGCACAAGCGGCGGAGCAUGCGGAUUAAUUCGAUGCAACGCGAAGAACCUUACCAAGGCUUGACAUGGACCGGAUCGCCGCAGAAAUGUGGUUUCUCCUUUGGGGCCGGUUCACAGGUGGUGCGUGGUUGUCGUCAGCUCGUGUCGUGAGAUGUUGGGUUAAGUCCCGCAACGAGCGCAACCCUCGUUCCAUGUUGCCAGCACGUGAUGGUGGGGACUCAUGGGAGACUGCCGGGGUCAACUCGGAGGAAGGUGGGGAUGACGUCAAAUCAUCAUGCCCCUUAUGUCUUGGGCUUCACGCAUGCUACAAUGGCCGGUACAAAGGGUUGCGAUACUGUGAGGUGGAGCUAAUCCCAAAAAGCCGGUCUCAGUUCGGAUUGGGGUCUGCAACUCGACCCCAUGAAGUCGGAGUCGCUAGUAAUCGCAGA
rnacentral:rRNA from 1 species